UGCCUAACACAUCCAAGGUUAGCGGUAACAGGUGUAGCAAUACAUGCUGACGAGCGGCGGACGGGUGGGUAACGCUUGCGGAAUCUGCCCGUCAGUGGGGGACAACCCGGGGAAAACUCGGGCUAAUACCGCAUACGAUCUACGGAUGAAAGCCGGGGACCGCAAGGCCUGGCGCUGACAGAUGAGCCCAAGUCGGAUUAGCUGGUUGGUAGGGUAAUGGCCUACCAAGGCGACGAUCCGUAACUGGUCUGAGAGGACGACCAGUCACACCGGAACUGAGACACGGUCCGGACUCCUACGGGAGGCAGCAGUGGGGAAUAUUGGACAAUGGGCGAAAGCCUGAUCCAGCGACGCCGCGUGGGUGAAGAAGGCCUGCGGGUUGUAAAGCCCUUUCGGUGGGGAAGAAAAGCCUCGACCUAAUACGUCGGGGUCUUGACGUAACCCAUAGAAGAAGCACCGGCUAACUCUGUGCCAGCAGCCGCGGUAAUACAGAGGGUGCGAGCGUUAAUCGGAAUUACUGGGCGUAAA
rnacentral:rRNA from 1 species